UACGAAGGGGGCUAGCGUUGUUCGGAAUUACUGGGCGUAAAGGGCGCGCAGGCGGUCGUUCAAGUCGCGUGUGAAAGCCCCCGGCUCAACUGGGGAGGGUCACGCGAUACUGAUCGACUCGAAGGCAGGAGAGGGUAGUGGAAUUCCCGGUGUAGUGGUGAAAUGCGUAGAUAUCGGGAGGAACACCAGUGGCGAAGGCGACUACCUGGCCUGUUCUUGACGCUGAGGCGCGAAAGCUAGGGGAGCAAACAGG
rnacentral:rRNA from 1 species